GAUAAACGCUGGCGGCGUGCAUGAGACAUGCAAGUCGAACGGGCACUCGGGCUUGCUCGAGUGCUAGUGGCGGACGGCUGAGUAACGCGUAGGUGACCUGUCCCGAAGUGGGGAAUAACUGCCCGAAAGGGUGGCUAAUACCGCAUACGUUCGUGCGUUCAUUCGUACGUACAAAGCCGUAAGGCGCUUCGGGAGGGGCCUGCGUCCGAUUAGCUCGUUGGUGGGGUAACGGCUCACCAAGGCGACGAUCGGUAGGUGGUCUGAGAGGACGAUCACCCAGACUGGGACUGAGACACGGCCCAGACUCCUACGGGAGGCAGCAGUCGGGAAUUUUGCUCAAUGGGCGCAAGCCUGAAGCAGCAACGCCGCGUGAGGGAUGAAGGCC
rnacentral:rRNA from 1 species